GAACGCGAAGAACCUUACCCGGGCUUGAAUUGCAGAGGAAGGAUUUAGAGAUAAUGACGCCCUUCGGGGUCUCCGUGAAGGUGCUGCAUGGUUGUCGUCAGCUCGUGCCGUGAGGUGUCGGCUUAAGUGCCAUAACGAGCGCAACCCCUCUCUUCAGUUGCCAUCAGGUAAUGCUGGGCACUCUGGAGACACUGCCACCGUAAGGUGUGAGGAAGGUGGGGAUGACGUCAAAUCAGCACGGCCCUUACGUCCGGGGCUACACACGUGUUACAAUGGCCGGUACAGAGGGACGGUGUAAUGCAAAUUGCAUCCAAUCUUGAAAGCCGGUCCCAGUUCGGACUGGGGUCUGCAACCCGACCCCACGAAGCUGGAUUCGCUAGUAAUCGCGCAUCAGCCAUGGCGCGGUGAAUACGUUCCCGGGUCUUGUACACACC
rnacentral:rRNA from 1 species